UUCCAUCAAUGCGAAACACGGACGGGCUAUUCUCCGGAAAAUUAUGAAGAUUAAUACGCUCUAUAAAAGCUUUGUAAAAGCGAAGAGGAAAGCUGCUCAAGUACAAACAGGAGGAGGUGUUUCACGCGAAGAAGAAGAACAAGAAGAUCGUUAUUUACACCGGCUUCAGAACCAUUCGAC